GAAUUUUGGACAAUGGGCGAAAGCCUGAUCCAGCAAUGCCGCGUGCAGGAUGAAGGCCCUCGGGUUUUAAACUGCUUUUGUAUGGAACGAAAAGCUUUGGGUUAAUACCCUGGAUUCAUGACCGUACCGCAAGAAUAUGCACCCGCUCACUACGUGCACGCAGCCGCGGUCAUACGUAGGGUGCAAGCGUUAAUCGGAAUUACUGGGGGGCAAGCGUGCGCAGGCGGUUUUGUAAGACAGAGGUGAAAUCCCCGGGCUCAACCUGGGAACUGCCUUUGUGACUGCAAGGCUAGAGUACGGCAGAGGGGGGUGGAAUUCCGCGUGUAGCAGUGAAAUGCGUAGAUAUGCGGAGGAACACCGAUGGCGAAGGCAACCCCCUGGGCCUGUACUGACGCUCAUGCACGAAAGCGUGGGGAGCAAACA
rnacentral:rRNA from 1 species